rnacentral:lncRNA from 1 species
UGAAAUUUAAUUUACAAAGUAGUUUAGGUAAACCUGUUUGUAUGGAACAUACAUAAUAUAAACAGGCCAUUGAUAUGAAUGUUUUCAUUGGAUGAUGAAUUGGUGAUAUGCUCCUCCCAAUUUUAAGGUAAUAAUCAUUUCAUGUUUGAGCUAGCAAGGAAGCUAACUAAAGAAUCUACCCGUAGCUUCAUACUCGUUGGAAUCUGCUGUAACAAACCCACUCAUUUCUUUUAAUGGCAACCACUA